AACGAACGCUGGCGGCAGGCUUAACACAUGCAAGUCGAGCGCCCCGCAAGGGGAGCGGCAGACGGGUGAGUAACACGUGGGAACGUACCCAUCUCUGCGGAACAACUCCGGGAAACUGGAGCUAAUACCGCAUACGCCCUUAGGGGGAAAGAUUUAUCGGAGAUGGAUCGGCCCGCGUUGGAUUAGCUAGUUGGUGGGGUAAAGGCCUACCAAGGCGACGAUCCAUAGCUGGUCUGAGAGGAUGAUCAGCCACAUUGGGACUGAGACACGGCCCAAACUCCUACGGGAGGCAGCAGUGGGGAAUAUUGGACAAUGGGCGCAAGCCUAAUCCAGCCAUGCCGCGUGAGUGAUGAAGGCCUUAGGGUUGUAAAGCUCUUUCAACGGGGAAGAUAAUGACGGUAACCGUAGAAGAAGCCCCGGCUAACUUCGUGCCAGCCGCCGCCGUAACAC
rnacentral:rRNA from 1 species